rnacentral:rRNA from 1 species
GACGUAGGAGGCGAGCGUUAUCCGGAUUCACUGGGCGUAAAGCGCAUGUAGGCGGUUGAACAAGUCAUGUGUUAAAGCCCCCGGCUCAACUGGGGGAGGUCAUGUGAGACUGUUUGACUUGAGGGCAGCAGAGGUAGGUGGAACUCCCGGUGUAGCGGUGGAAUGCGUAGAGAUCGGGAGGAACACCAGUGGCGAAGGCGACUUCCUGGCCUGUUCUUGACGCUGAGGCGCGAAAGCUAGGGGAGCAAACGGG